rnacentral:rRNA from 1 species
UACGUAGGGUGCGAGCGUUAAUCGGAAUUACUGGGCGUAAAGCGUGCGUAGGCGGUUUCAUAAGCUUGAUGUGAAAGCCCCGGGCUCAACCUGGGAAUGGCAUUGAGGACUGUGGAGCUAGAGUGCGGCAGAGGGAGGUGGAAUUCCACGUGUAGCAGUGAAAUGCGUAGAGAUGUGGAGGAACACCGAUGGCGAAGGCAGCCUCCUGGGCCGACACUGACGCUGAGGGCACGAAAGCGUGGGGAGCGAACCGG